UACGUAGGGUGCAAGCGUUGUCCGGAAUUAUUGGGCGUAAAGAGCUCGUAGGCGGUCUGUCACGUCGGCUGUGAAAACCCGAGGCUCAACCUCGGGCCUGCAGUCGAUACGGGCAAACUAGAGUACUGCAGGGGAGACUGGAAUUCCUGGUGUAGCGGUGAAAUGCGCAGAUAUCAGGAGGAACACCGAUGGCGAAGGCAGGUCUCUGGGCCACUACUGACGCUGAGAAGCGAAAGCGUGGGGAGCGAACAGG
rnacentral:rRNA from 1 species